rnacentral:lncRNA from 13 species
UGACUGCCACCAUGUGGUGGCUAUGUGGUUUUACAUGAGGAACCUUGACUGCCACCGUGGUUUUACAUGAUGUUCAUGAUUUCCCUUUUCCAGGUAAAGUGCUGGAGCAUCUCCAGUACAACCUACAGAGUAAGGCCAAGGUGUACGAGGACCACGCUCUCGGGGCCAUCUUCCUCCUCAACAACUACAACUACAUCCUCAAGUCAAUGAAGAAUUGGUUGAAGGUGACCGAGUGCCUGACUGAAAAGAAUCUGCCCACCUUUAAGUCAGGUGACAAGGUGAGGGUUGAUGUUUUGAGACUGUAUGUUAAAUUAAAAAAGGAUAUUUCUCAAAUGACACUAUCUACCUUUAAGUGGAUUUGCUUGUUUUAUUCAAACCUAAUCACACCUUUUCUAUUCUUCAUAUGUCAUCCCCAUCGGGCUUCAGUUGAAAGAGAAAGACUGUCAGGUGAUUAAAGACAAGUUCAAGGUAAGACAAGGAGGCCAGAUUCCUCCAUGUACCUAAAGGAUCUGUUUCAGUACUAGUGAUGGAGGGGGCUAUCGAGAUAUUAUCUUUGACGAUAUAUCAUAUCGUUUUGACAAUACCGCAAUAUUAUAUUGUGCUAGUUGGUUGUUCCUGCACCAAAACUCCAGUAUUUUUCCUUCAUAGCUUGUUCUCCAUCUUCAUUUUAAAUAAGGCGCCAAUUUAUUUGGGAAAUGAUUUGUUUUCAGCACUUUUUUAUUUCCAUGACUGAUCAAAACUAGUUUUCUCAUGUCUCUCUCUCGUCUCAGCAGCAGACAUAUGGUGAGCAAUAUGUUUGGAACAUCAAAUCACAAUAAAAUCACAGUAUCGAAUAGCAAUACAUAGUGAAUCAUGAGAAUCACAAUACAUAUAGAAUCAUGAGAAUCACAAUACAUAUAGAAUCAUGAGAAUCACAAUACAUAUAGAAUCAUGAGAAUCACAAUACAUAUAGAAUCAUGAGAAUCACAAUACAUAUAGAAUCAUGAGAAUCACAAUACAUAUAGAAUCAUGAGAAUCACAAUACAUAUAGAAUCANNNNNNNNNNACAGGGGUUAUGACAGGGACAUCUACCUGCAGGUCAUCUCUGUUUGAAGUGGUUAAAACCAGCGGCAGGGAUCCGGAGGUUGAGUACGGGGAACUGAUUGAGCAACAGAAGCAGGUGUACCAGCACAGGUGAGGGACCAGGAAUCCAGAGGAGGAAGAAGGGAGUGAUGGAAUCUAACAUUGUCUAACAUUAGUCCUGAUCAUUAUGUAUUAUUAGAAGAGACUAGCUGCCUCCUGCUAGCCUGAAAUCCACAGCCUUUUCUGCUAACAUUCCACUUUUUGUACUCCCUGUCAUUGCUAAAACAAGUUUUGCAUGACAAUGAGUGGAAUGAUGACAGGAACAGAUUGGUAACCAGGUUAGCAUACUGCCCUUACGGCCGGCCGGUAAAUCAUC